rnacentral:rRNA from 1 species
AACGAACGCUGAUGGCGUGCCUCAUACAUGCAAGUCGAGCGCGUAGCAAUACGAGCGGCGAACGGGUGAGUAACACGUGAGCAAUCUGCCCUGAAGUGGGGCAUAACUCUCCUAACGGAGAGCUAAUUCCGCAUAACGAUGGGAGUGGCAUCACUCCUUCUCAAAAGAUUUAUCGCCUCAGGAUGAGCUCGCGUCCCAUUAUGUUUGUUGGCGGGGUAACGGCCCACCAAGACUUCGAUGGGUAUCCGGCCUGAGAGGGUGUACGGACACAUUGGGACUGAGAUACGGCCCAGACUCCUACGGGAGGCAGCAGUAGGGAAUUUUGCGCAAUGGGGGAAACCCUGACGCAGCAACGCCAUGUGUGGGAUGAAGCAUUUCGGUGUGUAAACCACUGUCAGCGGGGACUAAACGGCCGCAGAGGCCUUUGAAUGUACCCGCAAAGGAAGCCCCGGCUAACUUCGUGCCAGCAGCCGCGGUAAUACGAGGGGGGCUAGUGUUGUUCGGAAUCACUGGGCGUAAAGGGAGCGUAGGCGGGAGCCUAAGUUGGGUGUUUAAUUCCGGGGCCCAACCCCGGGCGUGCACCCAAAACUGGGUUUCUUGAAUAGGGGAGAGGUCGAUGGAAUUGGAGGUGUAGCGGUGGAAUGCGUAGAGAUCUCCAAGAACACCGGUUGCGAAGGCGGUCGACUGGACCCAUAUU